rnacentral:rRNA from 1 species
CUACGGGCGGCAGCAGUGGGGAAUAUUGCACAAUGGAGGAAACUCUGAUGCAGCAACGCCGCGUGGAGGAUGACACUUUUCGGAGCGUAAACUCCUUUUAUAUAGGAAGAUAAUGACGGUACUAUAUGAAUAAGCACCGGCUAACUCCGUGCCAGCAGCCGCGGUAAUACGGAGGGUGCAAGCGUUACUCGGAAUCACUGGGCGUAAAGAGCGUGUAGGCGGGUUAAUAAGUCAGAAGUGAAAUCCUAUGGCUCAACCAUAGAACUGCUUUUGAAACUGUUAACCUAGAGUGUGUGAGAGGUAGAUGGAAUUUCUGGUGUAGGGGUAAAAUCCGUAGAGAUCAGAAGGAAUACCGAUUGCGAAGGCGAUCUACUGGAACAUAACUGACGCUGAGACGCGAAAGCGUGGGGAGCAAACAGGAUUAGAUACCCCGGUAGUC